AUUGGGCAAUGGGCGAAAGCCUGACCCAGCGACGCCGCGUGAGGGAAGAAGGCCUUCGGGUCGUAAACCUCUGUCAUCGGGGACGAAGGAAGUGACGGUACCCGAGGAGGAAGCCCCUGCUAACUACGUGCCAGCAGCCGCGGUAAUACAGAGGGUGCGAGCGUUGUUCGGAAUCACUGGGCGUAAAGCGCGCGCAGGCGGUCCUGCAAGUCUGAAGUGAAAUCUCGUCGCUCAACGACGGGGCUGCUUUGGAAACUGCGGGUCUGGAGAUCGGUAGAGGCUGGUAGAAUUGCAGGUGUAGCGGUGGAAUGCGUAGAGAUCUGCAAGAAUACCCGUGGCGAAGGCGGCCAGCUGGGCCGAAUCUGACGCUGAGGCGCGAAAGCGUGGGGAGCAA
rnacentral:rRNA from 1 species